rnacentral:lncRNA from 1 species
AGAGAAGAAACUUCAGCAUUGCGUUUGAAGCCGCAGAUCUGCAGGGAUUCCAAGCACUUUGAAUGUCAAUGAACUUAUUUGCCUGGAACGCCCGGAUUGGCAGUCGAUCAUGGCUUAUGUCACAUCGAUCUACAAACACCUUUGAGACCUGAGAGACUGGAAAGGAUUUGCAGCCAUUGCGGUAGUUCUGCCAAAGCAUUGCGCACGCACAGCGGAAACUUGGCCCAACUUUUAGUGACGUUGAACCGCCUUCCUGUUUUCUACUUCUCCAGUACAAGUUUACAUUUGCAUGUCAGUGUUUUUUGGCAAAGGGAUGUGCAAACUGCUGCCGUGUGCUAUGCUAGAGUUCAGUGUCACAGCGUUUCUUGAAAUUUUUGUACCGUGGUGUCGAGUCUGGUUGUUAGCCCGGCAAGUGCUCUCUGAGACUAGCGUUAGGGACGCUUGUGGAAAUCUUCAACAUUUCUCUCAUCAUCACUGAAAUUGUCCACUUCCAUGAAUAUGCCAAAGAAAGCAGUUUGGCUGUUUGUUUUAUUCUCAGGAGUAGUCCUAGUGCUACAGGAAUGCAAAUGCCCAAUUUUAGUUUGUAAGCGUUGGAUAAUCUGCUUUCACUUAAUGCCCAACUGCAUUUAGAACUUUGACGGUGUGGAGGGACCCUGCCUCUUUUGGUGUUUCGAAAGAUGGCGUUGACAGGGAGCUAUUACUGUUGUUCUUUUCAAAGUAUUUUGUCUCAUUUAAUUAUUUUCUUGUCCGAGGGAGUGAGCACGUGAUACACAGCUAGUGCACCUCACGUCCAGCGUUCACUGCCUACACGGACAGGAUAUAAGAGCAGCUUCAAUGUCGCACCAUUCAUGCCAUAUAAUUUUUAACUCGCAUUUUGCACACGUCUGCCUCACUGGCAUCAAGUUUACAAUUGGUGUGUGUGCGUGUCUGCCAGAAAUACUCCUUAAGUGUCCUUUUGUUUUUUCUUCUUUUUCAUGUUACACAUUGUUUGCACAUACACGCAGCCUCCAUCAUUGUCACAUGCAUCUAUUUAUAAGACCAUCCUUAUUAUUAUCGAUAAUUCUGUUGUCUGAAAGUAAUGAUAAAUGUUGGUCUCACAUGCACUACAGCACCUUGAGUGUCACUUCUGCAGUGCUGGCGUACUGCUGACAUCGCUGAUACGAUUCCUGUAGGAAAUAGUAUUUAGGUACCAAUAAGGCUGUUCUGUUUGUUUUGUAUUGCAGCAUCAGCAAACUUUUUAAUGCAACUUUAUGAAAAACAGUACACUUCUUUAAGUAGAUGCUUGAGCCUUUUUCUUUCUAUUUUCAUGUUAUGAUUUUUAAUUAGUUUUCUAGUCCUGCAGCACCGUUUCUGAAUGGUUUGCUUUCUCUUGAAAAUUUUUUGGGUAUUAUUGGAUUGCUAAUUAUGUGAUGUGAUGUGCAACAUACUUCAGUGUAAGUGUUUGCCAGCCAUAUUGUACCCUUCAAGAUGGACAGAUACAAUUUUGGGGGGAUUAUGCUGCUCAUGGGAAAGAUAUUAUAGAUGAAAGGAACAAUGGGAACAGUACUUUCAGUAUUAUUAGCCAACAAAAGUAAGCUCUGUGAUUACAAGUGCAGUUAGUAAAUACAGAAAAUAGCAUGGUAAGGUAAUAGUAAUGAAUCAUCAUAGCUUUUUCUCUGUUACAAAAUCCAAUUAACAUAAAAAUUGUACAAAAAUUCUCUGGCAGUAAUUCUCUUUUGAUCAUAUAAACUUUUUCUGUUUUUGUAGCUAGUGCACAGCAAGGCUUUUGUAAUGUUCCUUUGAUCCACUAUUCCCAGUGCAUAAUGUAAGGGAGGUGUUGUGUUCAGAAGCGUGCUUCUGCUGCAGCAUUCAUUAAUGAAACAUUUAGCAAUGCUGCAUAUGCCAGUACCAUUAAAAAAGUGCUCCCAUUUUUGUGCUUCUCUGCUAAGAACUUAAAUCUAACAAUCAUUUGUUGCUUUGCUGUGUUGAAAUUCACAGGACUAGCAAUAGGUAGCUCUGUAGUACACUUUGCAAAAUGAAAUAUUAGAAUAAUACAUAGAAUCCGCCCGAACCAGUCACUCUUAUUGGUUUUACAUAAUUGGCAAAUAUUUUACUGGCAGACAUUUCUUGAUGUGGAUAGGUUAAAUAUGUCUUCAACCAUAUUCACUUUAUCUGGAAAACGCUAUAGUUAGAGAAGAAUCGGAGAUGCGUUCUGCAGUGGUGACAUUCAAGUGUGUUAGUGCAUGUGUUGACACUCUUUCGAGCCCAAUUGUCACGGGGCUGUAAUGUUAUCGUCUAGUCAUGUGCUGAAAAUUUUUUUUUGUGUGUGUACACAUCUCUCUUUAUAUGCAUAGUCAACAAACCACUGUUUGUUCUUACCUGAAUGCUGCCAACUCAUCAGGGUUUUCCUUCUGAAGACAGGGGCACAUUCUUUAUAGCAUUACCCCCUAAUUAAAAAAAAA